UGUGCAAAGGUAGCAUAAUCAUUUGGCUUAUAAUUGAAGUCUGGCAUGAAAGAAACUACGGGUAAUUACUGUCUCCCUUGGUCACCUUGAAUUUCCUUAAAGGGUGAAAAUGCCCUUUGAUAAAUAAUAGACGAGAAGACCCUAGAAAUUUUUUAUACCAUAAGAUAAUCUUAUUUCUAUUUUGUUGGGGCGACAGAAUAACAUUUAACUUGUUUUAUUUAAUAUGAACUAUAUAUUGAGCAAAAAUAAAUUACUCUAGGGAUAACAGCAUAAUUUGAUAAAGUUUGUGACCUCGAUGUUGGACUAGGGAUUUCAUUAACCAGCAGUUAAUGAAACAGGCUCUGUUCGAGCCAAUUAUUCCCUACAUGAUCUGAGUUCAAAUCGA
rnacentral:rRNA from 1 species